UGGCGGGUAGCUCAGAUGGUUAGAGCAUCGGACUGAUAAUCCGAAGGUCGAGAGUUCAAAUCUCUCCCUGCCAAC
rnacentral:tRNA from 3 species